rnacentral:rRNA from 1 species
ACCCCGUGCUUGCACAGGUGAUUAGUGGCGAACGGGUGAGUAACACGUGAGUAACCUGCCCCUGACUCUGGGAUAAGCCCGGGAAACUGGGUCUAAUACUGGAUAUGACCUUUAACCGCAUGGUUUUUGGUGGAAAGAUUUAUCGGUUGGGGAUGGACUCGCGGCCUAUCAGCUUGUUGGUGAGGUAAUGGCUCACCAAGGCGACGACGGGUAGCCGGCCUGAGAGGGUGACCGGCCACACUGGGACUGAGACACGGCCCAGACUCCUACGGGAGGCAGCAGUGGGGAAUAUUGCACAAUGGGCGAAAGCCUGAUGCAGCGACGCCGCGUGAGGGAUGACGGCCUUCGGGUUGUAAACCUCUUUCAGUAGGGAACAAGGCCAGCAUUUUUGUUGGUUGAGGGUACUUGCAGAAGAAGCGCCGGCUAACUACGUGCCAGCAGCCGCGGUAAUACGUAGGGCGCAAGCGUUAUCCGGAAUUAUUGGGCGUAAAGAGCUCGUAGGCGGUUUGUCGCGUCUGCCGUGAAAGUCCGGGGCUCAACUCCGGAUCUGCGGUGGGUACGGGCAGACUAGAGUGAUGUAGGGGAGACUGGAAUUCCUGGUGUAGCGGUGAAAUGCGCAGAUAUCAGGAGGAACACCGAUGGCGAAGGCAGGUCUCUGGGCAUUAACUGACGCUGAGGAGCGAAAGCAUGGGGAGCGAACAGGAUUAGAUACCUUGGUAGUCCAUGCCGUANACGUUGGGCACUAGGUGUGGGGGACAUUCCANGUUUUCCGCGCCGUAGCUAACGCAUUAAGUGCCCCGC